AGCUGAAGGCAGAGGCUUAACCCACUGAGAUGCCCUCCUUCCUCUUCUUAUAAAGACACCAGUUCUAUUGGAUUAGAACCCCUUGUUUAACCUCUGUUACCUCCUUGAAAGCCCUAGCUCUAAGCACAGUCCAUUGGGGGCUUCAGCAUAUGAAUUUUGGAGGGACAUAGUUUAGUCCAUAAUAAGAAGAGUGGAAAAAUCGCAUGGCAAAGGUGCAUGCAGGAUGCAAGGGAUGUCUGGGCCCACUUUUGGACUUCACCCACCACACUUCUCUGCCACUAAAAUAAUUUCCAUCCUUCACAAUUUCCUCCCUCAGUCUGGCCAGGCUCGAUGGGUCCUCACUCAGCACUCCUGCAGCUCUAAGUGUGGGUUGCUUAGUUCACAUGACCACAUCCUGCCUUGGAUGUAAGCAUUUGGUUGGUGUAGGUUCUAACCUCAAGGCAAUGGCUAUAGUUGUUUUUUGUUUGUUUGUUUGUUUUUUUAAAUAUCUCUGAGUUCUCAUACAGUGCCUGGCAUAGGGAAAGCCACAGUAGAUUUUGUGGAAUGAAUCAACAACACAAUUAAUGUUACUGUUUCAAAAACUGAUGACCACUCACAGACCAAGCGAGGUUUGGCACUUGAGCAGUUCUCAUGUUCUUUUGUCUUCCAUUUCUUUCAACUCUUCAAACCGUUGCACGUGGGAAGAACUCAGAAGACGGCACAGCGGAGGAGAGCCUGGGUUCUGGUCCCAGUGCUGGAACCUCUAUAUUGUGAUCCUGGGCAAGUCAUUUGAUUUCUCCUGGGCCUCAGUUUCUUCAUGUCUGCUAGAAGAAUAACAAUCCUUUUAUGGGCUGUGAGAGAGGAAUAUGAUAAUUUAGGUGAAAGUGUUUUGUAAAGUCCCAAGAAUUUCACAAAUGCAGAAAUAAUUUACAGGAAGUCAAUUGGUGGGAGAGCUUCUGAGAAAGAUUGCCUUGAUAAUGAAAAGAGAUUCAUAUUGAAAGAGAUCAUGUCUACUUGUUGCGCAGAACUACACCAGCCAUCUUCUGAGCAUGAGAAGAACUAAGGCAACACGUUGAGGACAAAGAGACAAGAGAUGGAGAGAACCUCGGUCUGUGAUGAUGUCAUUGAGCUACUCCUAACCAGCCCAAGGAUGCCCCUACCUUGUAAUGUCUUGUUAUAUAAGAUAAUAAGUAUUCCUUA